GACCUCGUAGCUCAGCUGGUAGAGCGUGUGCCGUACGAAAAGCGUACGCAGUAUCUAUGCGUGGGUUCGAAUCCCACCGAGGCUA
rnacentral:tRNA from 1 species